UCUUAGAUAUAAAUCAAUUUCUUUACCAGAGUACUACGAACAUCAAGUUUAAAACUCAAAGGGCUUGGCGGUGCUUUAGACUUCUCAGGGGAACCUGUCUCGUAAUCGACAAUCCACGAACCAACCUCACCUUUUCUUGUAAUUCAGUCUGUAUACCGUCGUCGUCAGGUGACUUUUAAAAACAAAGAAGUUAGCAACAAAAUAAAUUAAUUUUUACGUCAGAUCAAGGUGCAGCCUAUGAAAAGGAGUAGAUGGGUUACAAUUAAAACUUAUAACUACGGAUUUAAUCUCUAACAAGUUUUUAAAGGCGGACUUGAAAGUAAAGCCUAGCAGCUAAAUGUCUUGAAUUAAGCUCUGAAGCG
rnacentral:rRNA from 1 species